GACGAACGCUGGCGGCGUGCUUAACACAUGCAAGUCGAACGGUGAAGCGCCUUCCUUUUUGGUGGGUGUGGAUGAGUGGCGAACGGGUGAGUAACACGUGAGUAACCUGCCCCCUUCUUCUGGAUAACCGCAUGAAAGUGUGGCUAAUACGGGAUAUUCUGGGUCUGUCGCAUGAUGGGUCUGGGAAAGAUAUUGUUUCGGUGGGGGAUGGGCUCGCGGCCUAUCAGCUUGUUGGUGGGGUGAUGGCCUACCAAGGCGGUGAGGGGUAGCCGGCCUGAGAGGGUGGGCGGUCACACUGGGACUGAGACACGGCCCAGACUCCUACGGGAGGCAGCAGGGGGGAAUAUUGCACAAUGGGCGCAAGCAUGAUGCAGCGACGCCGCGUGAGGGAUGGAGGCCUUCGGGUUGUGAACCUCUUUCGCCAGUGAAGCAGGCCUGCCUCGUUUGUGGGUGGGUUGACGGUAGCUGGAUAAGAAGCGCCGGCUAACUACGUG
rnacentral:rRNA from 1 species